UACGGAGGGUGCAAGCGUUAAUCGGAAUUACUGGGCGUAAAGCGCGCGUAGGUGGCUUGAUACGACGGUUGUGAAAGCCCCGGGCUCAACCUGGGAACGGCAUCCGGAACUGUCAGGCUAGAGUGCAGGAGAGGAAGGUAGAAUUCCCGGUGUAGCGGUGAAAUGCGUAGAGAUCGGGAGGAAUACCAGUGGCGAAAGCGGCCUGCUGGACUGACACUGACACUGAGUUGCGAAAGCGUGGGUAGCGAACAGG
rnacentral:misc_RNA from 1 species